rnacentral:rRNA from 1 species
GACGAACGCUGGCGGCGUGCUUAACACAUGCAAGUCGAACGGAAAGGCCCUGCUUUUGUGGGGUGCUCGAGUGGCGAACGGGUGAGUAACACGUGAGUAACCUGCCCUUGACUUUGGGAUAACUUCAGGAAACUGGGGCUAAUACCGGAUAGGAGCUCCUGCUGCAUGGUGGGGGUUGGAACGUUUCGUCGGUUGGGGAUGGACUCGCGGCUUAUCAGCUUGUUGGUGGGGUAGUGGCUUACCAAGGCUUUGAAGGGUAGCCGGCCUGAGAGGGUGACCGGCCACAUUGGGACUGAGAUACGGCCCAGACGCCUACGGGAGGCAGCAGUGGGGAAUAUUGCACAAUGGGCGGAAGCCUGAUGCAGCAACGCCGCGUGCGGGAUGACGGCCUUCGGGUUGUAAACCGCUUUCGCCUGUGACGAAGCGUGAGUGACGGUAAUGGGUAAAGAAGCACCGGCUAACUACGUG